rnacentral:misc_RNA from 1 species
AUAUUUUUCCAGCAAAUGUUCCUUGAUAUUCGCAGUAUGACGAUCUGCGUUGUGGAUCAGCAUUUUAGUCUUAAUAAAAUACUUUUGCGUGCACUUGCCUUAUGGCCUUAUCAUCGCACGAAACUCGUUGAAUUACACCUGGUCUUGUUGUUUUUUAUUUUCAUUAGCUUCAUCUUAGUUCAAUUGACAACAUUUCUAACUACAGAAUGCACCCCUAAUAUGAGAAUUAGAAUUUUCUCCUUUGUAUUGUAUUUUACUAUAUAUCUAAUAAAGUACAGUUGCUUCUGCAUUAAUAGUGAUACUAUAAGAUGUUUAUUAGACAAAUUUCAAUAUAUAUGUGAUGAGCUAAAAGACGAAGGCGAAAUCGCUAUCAUAAAAGAAUAUGGGAACGAGGCAAAACGUUUUACACUUAUUAUGUCAGUAUACAGCAUAUCCAACGCACUUAUUCUGUGUCUUCUACCAAUUGUCCCGCGAAUUCUUGGUAUUUUUACGUCCAUAAAUGUGUCUGAAGAAUAUUUUAUGAUACAUGUUCCGAGAGAAUACUUUAUCGAUCAAGAGAAGUAUUACUAUUAUAUUUUGCUGCAUAUGGAAGCAAACUUCUUUAUAGGAGCAAUUGUAUUAUUAGCAACAGGAACAAUGCUAUUUGGCUGUAUCAAAUAUAUAUGUGGAUUAUUUAGAAUCGCCAGUUGUCGUAUUGAUCAAACAAUGGAAACUUCGAUGUUUCAAAGUGCUGGUUUGUCGAAGGAUUGUGUAAUUUAUAAAAAGAUUGUACACGCCAUAGACAUUUAUCGCAAAGCAGUAGAGUUAGUAUUAAUUAUAUCGGCGCAAUUAUGUGAUAUAAUAAAAUCCAAUCUCGUGGGAUCAUGUUUUUCACUAAUGUUAGUUGGUGUUAUUUCCUUAAGUCUCAAUCUUUAUGGACUUCACCAGGCUUUGAUGCUUGUAAGUGCGACGGAGGAAUGUUUAAUGUAUGUUACACUUACAGUUGUCAUUCUAAUAUAUAUGUUCAUAGCCAGUUACAUCGGACAAGAAGUUUCAGAUCACCAUAAUCAUGUAUUUAUAAGCGUAUACAACAUUAAGUGGUACGUAACUCCUUUAUAUAUACAAAGGAUAAUUUUGUUCCUGUUGCAAAAAGGCACUAAAAAUUUUUAUAUUACUUUUGGUGGGCAGUUUGUGAUGUCUAUGGAAAGUGCGACCACGGUAAAAUUAUGUCAUAUCAUGUCAUGUUAUAAAAUUACAUCAAAUUAUAAUUUUCCGCGAGGUGUAACCUUAUCUGCAUAAUUACCUUUCAAAGCAGCAUGUCCUUUACAGUGGAAUAAAACAAUGCAAAAUAUGUUUCAGAUGUUAAGCACUUCCAUAUCGUAUUUCACCAUUAUCUAUUCUACACAGCAAGAUACAUGACAUAACUAAAUAACUUAAAUUAGUUUAUGGCUUCUAGAGAAAAGCCAUAGCUUCUAGAGAGAAAACAUGAGUAGAUUCUGUAUAUCAGAGAUUUCGUAGUCGAAUACUUAUUUUCGCAAAGAGAUGAAAUUUAUUGUGAAAAAAAAUUGCUCAAAGCAGCAAAUCAUCAUAAUAUUUUCCUGUGUUUACAGGAACCUGAUAAUAAUUACUUCCAGUAAAAGUUCGAAAUACAAAACGAACGAUGUAGCACUUUCCGAGAAUGGAAACGUAUUUCAAAAAAACUUGGUUUGGAGUAAAACCGAGGCUACAAUGUAGUCAAUAUAAAUCAUAUGCAUUUGCAUGUGUUCAAUUGAAAUGUGUUCAAGACAUCAUACUAUGAUUCUUCACCAGAGGAAAAUAAAUAUCCAGUGAAUUGUUUUCUUUAUCGAUCGCAUAAUAGGCGAUUUCUAUUCCAGUUAUUGUCACUAAAUUUUUGCGAUUGUGCGAUGACAUCAUGACCAUUUGCUUUGUAUAUACUUAUGUAAAAUUGAGUAAUUAAAAAUAUUACGCUUACAUGA